rnacentral:rRNA from 1 species
GAUGAACGCUGGCGGCGUGCUUAACACAUGCAAGUCGAACGAAGAUAUUAAGAAUGAGAGCUUCGGCAGGAAUUUUUCUUAUCUUAGUGGCGGACGGGUGAGUAACGUGUGGGCAACCUGCCCUGCACUGGGGAAUAAUCAUUGGAAACGAUGACUAAUACCGCAUACGGUUCCUGGGAGGCAUCUUCCGGGAAAGAAAGGAUUUAUUCGGUGCAGGAUGGGCCCGCAUCUGAUUAGCUAGUUGGUGAGAUAACAGCCCACCAAGGCGACGAUCAGUAGCCGACCUGAGAGGGUGACCGGCCACAUUGGGACUGAGACACGGCCCAAACUCCUACGGGAGGCAGCAGUGGGGAAUAUUGCACAAUGGGCGAAAGCCUGAUGCAGCAACGCCGCGUGAAGGAAGAAGGGUUUCGGCUCGUAAACUUCUAUCAACAGGGACGAAAGAAAUGACGGUAC